rnacentral:rRNA from 1 species
UGGCUCAGAAUGAACGUUGGCGGCGUGGAUUAGGCAUGCAAGUCGUGCGGAAAGGCUCCUUCGGGAGUACUCGAGCGGCGAAAGGGAGAGUAACACGUGGAUAUCUACCCUCGGAUCUGGGAUAGCGGUGGGAAACCGCCGGUAAUACCAGAUAACGUCUCCGGACCAAAGGUGUGAUUCCGUCCGAGGAUGAGUUCGCGUCCUAUUAGCUUGUUGGUGGGGUAACGGCCUACCAAGGCGGUGAUGGGUACCGGGUGUGAGAGCAUGACCCGGCUCACUGGGACUGAGACACUGCCCAGACACCUACGGGUGGCUGCAGUCGAGAAUCUUCGGCAAUGGGCGCAAGCCUGACCGAGCGACGCCGCGUGCGGGAUGAAGGCCUUCGGGUUGUAAACCGCUGUCAGAGGGAAGGAAAUACAUGAGGGUUAUCCCUCAUGUUUGACCGAUCCUCAGAGGAAGUACGGGCUAAGUUCGUGCCAGCAGCCGCGGUAACACGAACCGUACGAACGUUAUUCGGAAUCACUGGGCUUAAAGGGUGCGUAGGCGGCCUGGUAAGUUGAGUGUGAAAUCCCCCGGCUCAACCGAGGAAUUGCGCUCAAAACUAUCCGGCUUGAGGAAGGCAGAGGUAAGCGGAACUAAUGGUGGAGCGGUGGAAUGCGUUGAUAUCAUUAGGAACACCUGAGGCGAAAGCGGCUUACUGGGCCUUUCCUGACGCUGAGGCACGAAAGUUAGGGGAGCCAACGGGAUUAGAUACCCCGGUAGUCCUAUCUGUAAACGAUGAGCACUGGAUUGAGGGGACCUCCACAUCUUCUCGGUCGUAGCGAAAGUGUUAAGUGCUCCGCCUGGGGAGUAUGGUUGCAAGGCUGAAACUCAAAGGAAUUGACGGGGGCUCACACAAGCGGUGGAGGAUGUGGCUUAAUUCGAGGCUACGCGUAGAACCUUAUCCUGGGUUUGACAUGGGCGUGGUAGUGAAGCGAAAGCGGAGCGACCCUUCGGGGAGCGUCCACAGGUGCUGCAUGGCUGUCGUCAGCUCGUGCCGUGAGGUGUCGGGUUAAGUCCCGUAACGAGCGCAACCCUUGCCCUUAGUUACAAGUGUCUAAGGG